UGAGGAAUAUUGGUCAAUGGGCGGAAGCCUGAACCAGCCAUGCCGCGUGACGGAAGACGGCCCUAUGGGUCUUAAACGUCUUUGGUCCCGGAGCAAUAAGAGCCACGCGUGGCUCGAUGAGAGUACGGGAAGAACAAGCAUCGGCUAACUCCGUGCCAGCAGCCGCGGUAAUACGGGGGAUGCGAGCGUUAUCCGGAUUUAUUGGGUUUAAAGGGCGCGUGGGCGGGACGUCAAGUCAGCGGUAAAAGACUGCAGCUAAACUGUAGCACGCCGUUGAAACUGGCGCCCUGGAGACGAGACGAGGGAGGCGGAACAAGUGAAGUAGCGGUGAAAUGCAUAGAUAUCACUUGGAACCCCGAUAGCGAAGGCAGCUUCCCGGGCUCGUUCUGACGCUGAUGCGCGAGAGCGUGGGUAGCGAACAGGAUUAGAUACCCUGGUAGU
rnacentral:rRNA from 1 species